rnacentral:misc_RNA from 1 species
AAAGUCGUAACAAGGUCUCCGUUGGUGAACCAGCGGAGGGAUCAUUGCUGGAACGCGCUUCGGCGCACCCAGAAACCCUUUGUGAACUUAUACCUUACUGUUGCCUCGGCGCAGGCCGGCCUCACUGAGGCCCCUCGGAAACGAGGAGCAGCCCGCCGGCGGCCAACCAAACUCUUGUUUCUUAGUGAAUCUCUGAGUAAAAAAAAUAAAUGAAUCAAAACUUUCAACAACGGAUCUCUUGGUUCUG